UGUGAGGCUCCGUCUAGUCCAGGACUGACUUCCUGAGGCCCAUGAGUGCACCGAGCCAAGACCCUGCUGGCCACAGAACAUGGGAGGAUAACUCAUUUCUACUGGUCGAUUUUCCAGCUCGCAGAAGCUUCCCUCCAUCUUUUCCAUUCUUCUAUUGAGCCCAGGUUGUCAGCUUCUCCAGCACCCAGUCCACAAUAAAGAAGGCAAAAGAAAACCCCAGGAACUCACUGUCCUGUCAUUUCUCCUAUCCCGAGGGCCCUGCUGGUCUGCCUUCUUCUCUCCACUGUUCAGAGGCUUAGGUUUGUUUUAUACAUACUUGCAGGGGUUUUAGCUGUACUUAGCAAGAAGAGGAGGAAAAAUGUAUCCACUCUCUUUCUGGAAGUGAAGAUCUGAACACUUCUUUUCUCUUCUCUUACUUUGCCUCAAACAGUAACCAUGCUUCCUCCGUGGCUUCAGCUUCUGAAGAGCCCCUGUGUGCUUCUCUGUCUUCUCCUGGGUCACCCCAGAUGUGGGUGCCAGGAGUUACACUUCUUCAUUUUCUCAUUAUGCCUAGAGCUGCUAGAGGCUUCCUUCUUCUCUGUCUUGACUCAGUUUCUGCCAUUUGGCCCCUAGCCUUUCCAUCACCUGUGGAACUGACUCUUGCUCUCUGUUUUUCAGAUUGGAGUGGUUCCCAUUUUCCUGCAUGGAACCUGAUUUACACAAAAGGUCUGAGCAUUCUUAUUUUAAUUUGAUAGCUAUUGACAAGUUACCUGCCAAGCUGCCCGUACCUAUUUAGUUAGAACAAUAGGAGUAUCUGUUUACCCACAGCCUUGAAGGGUUUGUCUUGCCAAUCUGAUAGGUGAAUUUAAUAGUCAUUUUCAUUUGUUU
rnacentral:lncRNA from 1 species